rnacentral:lncRNA from 1 species
GACUCCACUGACGCUGCUGUCUCUUGUAUCAUGUGAUUAUGACGCAUUAUUUAUUUCUAUUAGCUGUUGAUUGAUCAAUGUCCCUCGAGAAAAAUGCCCUGCUAAUGGCUGAAAGAAAAAUGUCAACCAUGCAAAAAUGCCAUCUAGUGGAGACAGACUACCACCAGAGAAGUGAAACUCAGCUGAAAUGAAAGUAUCCAAGAUGGCGACCUUAAACCAUUAGUGAAUCGCUUUACGGGGAGUUCGUAUGGACUCUCAUCUUUUCUUCGUACGUCAUGCUAAAGUAGAGAGCGUUAGUGAAUCUCACCCCGAGAUGUUUACAUGGUGGAAACGCUGACUGUCCUGUCCACGUGGAUAAAAGGGUACUGUCCGCGAGUGAGGUCACUGCCCCAUGCCCUGUACUAAGUCCGUAUGGCAGACCACGGCAGGCUACCACAAAGACCGCUCCACAGCAAGCUACCACAGAGAAUACAGUAACAUCGUCAUCUUCAUAACGUACCGUGCAUAGUUCAUAGUUAACACCCAACGUACCCAACGUAUAUACGCAAAUGACUUGCUCACACACCACCCAAGACAAACGGCAAGGAUGGACACUAACCAGACGCUGGAUAUUGAGGAAGAGUCAAUGAUAAAGAGAUGUGUUGGAACUGUUAUUCCAAAGGGUUCCAUGGUGGUGGAUAAUGAUACAUGCAUUGUAUUCCUUAACAAAGGACACUGAAGCUUUUAAAUUCACACUCUUAACAUGUGGACAAACCAAUGAGCAUCUACACUAUAUGGAUCUGGACUCCUGAACAAAACCAUUCUCAAUUUGCUUCAUAUGCCAGGAGUUAGGUAGUCCACCCUUCCAUUCCUGCUUUGUUUCAUUGUUUUGAAAUGUAAUUCCUCGAAUCAAUGGAUGCAUAUUAAUGCAGUGACAUACUUCCCUAUAUUAUAUUGUGAAUAUUUAAAUAAAGAACGAUUGUCCUAAUUACUAAUAGAUUUUUAUUUCAAUUUUGCCACUGUCACAGAAAAAUAGGUUAUUUAGAUCAAGUCCAUUGGGAAACAAUUAUGUGUAUUCUCUCACUAACUCUCCACAGUGCAGAACAAUUAAUUAGCCAGUGAUAUUCUGUCACAACAAAAUAAGCUGAUGAACACAAGUACAAUCAGAAAUAUCAAAGCUGUAUUUACUUAAUACAUAAAUUAUGCUUUCUCCUGGAAGGUAAUGCUUGUGGAAGCCUCAACACAGAUCAGGUCAGUCAACAAAACAAUGGUCAUCCAAACACAACAUGCAAUCCUUUACUGAGGUAAGCCACUUGUGGGCUGAGGUCAAACUAGUCAUGAGUUGUGCCUCACAUGGAAAUUUUCUUCGUACCAACCCUCUCGCACAGCACAGAUAAUAAGACUGUCUGCAAGGUAUGACUGUUUACUAACAAACUGCUGGAGUUGUGGAACAGCUAAUGCAAGAAAUGAAAAGAAAAUGUCCUGACUCAAACAUAAGGAGUUGCAAUAAUCACUUGUCUAACUUGGAAGGUAAGUUUCAAAGAAAUGAGAUUAGUCUUUGCCCAGAGAGUGUGUACUCAACAGCAGAUCCAAGACUGCAAUGACACUGUGCUUCACAAACUUCCUUUCUGCUCGACAUAACAAGAAGGAACACAGAAGUGCAGAAAAAAACAGAGGUAGCAAGCAAAUCAGAACAAUUCAUCCAUUUACAAAUCAAUUCCUACAUCCAUAAAUCCAACCUCAAAAGUAACUAAUGCUCUAAGAUAUCGAUAAACUCUUCCUACCACAUAGUUAAAAAUAUUACAUAUAAAAUUGUUCCCGUAUUUUCAGACAAUAAAAAAAUCAACAUGAAUAUUAUGCAAACAAUACCUGUUGUAAGGUAAAAGGUCAAGUUGCAGAUUCAAUGCACUAACUGCACCAAUAGAGUAGCGUGUACAAGACGAGAUAUGAGACAAGAGUAGCUGGCAGAGAGAAAGAAAGACAGACAUGGCAUGA